rnacentral:rRNA from 1 species
CCCUUAGAUGUUCUGGGCCGCACGCGCGCUACACUGUUCGACGCAGCGAGUCUUAACCUUGACCGAAAGGUUUGGGUAAUCUUCAGCAAAGUCGAACGUGAUGGGGAUCGAUCAUUGCAAUUAUUGAUCGUGAACGAGGAAUUCCUAGUAAGUGCAAGUCAUCAGCUUGCGCUGAUUACGUCCCUGCCCUUUGUACACACCGCCCGUCGCUACUACCGAUUGAAUGGUUUAGUGAGAUCUCUGGAUUGACGCUGGCUAGGGGGCGACCCUUGGCCAGACUGCUUGAGAAACUGCUCAAACUUGAUCAUUUAGAGGAAGUAAAAGUCGUAACA